rnacentral:lncRNA from 1 species
GCAGCCAUUUUCUCCCUGGAGAGGCUGGAGUGUCCAAAAGCUUGGCCGACUGAGAUUGCUAGUCGUGUCAGGGCGGGUGCGGGACUGAAGAAGGGCGAGGGCGAGCGGCGGGGACUGGGGAAGGGCGAGCAGCGGGAGGCACGGGCUCUCUCUAGCAGGUGGCUGCAGCCAUGGAGAGGCUCUGUGCCGCCGCUGUCAAGGGCCAGACGGGCCCAGAGCGCCCAAGCCCCUUCAGUCAGCUGGUCUACACCAACAACGACUCUUACGUGAUUCACCAUGGGGAUCUCAGGAAGAUCCACAAAGCUGCCUCCCGGGCCAAGCCUGGAAGCUGGAGAGGAUGAUGAAGAAGACGACAAUGGACCUGAACAUAAGAGAUGCGAAGAAGAGGCUGGCCACACACCACUUUUAUUGGCCAUAAGGAAAAGAACAUUCAUCAACAACUUUUGGAAUAUAAACAAAAGAUAUCUAAAAAUUCUCAAAAUAGUAAUCCAGAAGGAACAUCUGAAGGAACACCUGACGAGGCUGCACCCUUGGCGGAAAGAACACCUGACACGGCUGAAAGCUUGGUGGAAAGAACACCUGACGAAUAGGAUACAGUGAAUUCCUCUUCAAAGAUUUUAGCCUGUAAACAUCCUUUAAAAUUCAAGAGGGGGGAAGAUUAAGUACAAUGAGUUCUGAGUUCCUCAUCAAAGAACAAAUAUGUCAGUAUGUUCAGCUUCUCCGUUCUUUGUUCUCCGUUUUAAAGUUUAACUUCCUCGUUCGUUAUGCCUCCUUGCCCCUAGUUUCAUUAAACAACCCCCUUCUAGCCUCUAACACCUGCUUUGUCUUUAGUCAUUCUUAGUAACCUGCUCUGUCCUUAGUCAUCCUUAGACACCUGCUCUGUAACUGUCUUUCCCGCUGAAACUACUCACCCUGCCACUCCAGCUCAUACCCCUGCCCUCUUUGAAAUAGCCAAUCUGAAUUGGCUUAGAGUGUGCAGUCCAACCCUAUCCAAUAGGGAAAAGACACAACAGUAGGGACUAGCUGCGUUAGAAAUAAGAACACUUUCCCCUCCCUUGUCCGGUGUGAUCUUGCCUUUGCUCCAUCUGCAAGACCACUCUUCCA